ACCUCAGGGGAAGCAACAGAUCGUCACUCGGUGUUCUCACCGAAAGCACGUAAUCGCCGGUGUAACUCAUGUUGGCUGGGGGGCCUCCCGGCGCGCAGCAAGGCUGGGGUGCGCCCCUGUGCAGCUUGCUGUUGCUCAGCUGCACGAUCCCAGCCUUCGAAUGUGCCUAGGGCGGUGAGAAACUCAAUUCCCGUCGCCCCUACCCCCACUCCUCGGGUGGCUGAGGGAUGCUGUGUGCUAGGGGUGGCCAGGUGGAAGCCCAGAGCCCCGUGGCCCGUGGUCGGGGAGUCGGCUGUCCUGGAGGCUUAGGGUCGCGCCCCUUCUUCCCAGCCCCCCACUCCAGGCUUGCUCUAGGAAGCACCCCAGCCUCAGACCCUGGCCAGACCCCAUUGGGGGCAGGGUUCGUAGUAGUCGUGGAUGUGCUGGCCCCGUGGCUUGUCUGAUUUGCACGGUGACUUGAUUACACGCUUGCAUUCAUGGUCACUUCCGAAGCGCUUUAGUGCCUUCCGUCCCUAAACCGCCAACAGCCAAGGCGGCUUUCCCCGCGGAUUGUCAGUGAUCCACGGGUCCGGAAGGGCCUUCGUCUUACCCGGGAUCCACCUUUCCCUUCACGCUCCUUGCCCACCUCCUCACCCCACCCCUUGUCUUUCAAGAACCCCCCUUCUGCUCCCUGCCUGCCGCGGUUCGGAGUGACUCGGCAGAGCUAGACGCACGGGGGCUGCGCCUCUGCUCGCUGGUCAGCGCGCCUGCCUGGUCUUCUGGAGCUGAGGAAUCGGGAAACCAUGCAAUUGAGGCAAGCCUUGGGCUGUUUUAGAGGAGCUGACAUCUGAGGAGCCUUCUCCUGGGAGGCUCCACGGUCAAGCUGAACCUACCUGGCUCUGGGAAAAAGCUGACUGGAACUAAGGCCAUCCCGGAAGGCCAAGUCCGAGUUCCACUUUAGAAGCUGCCGCGGCAGGCAAGACUAUGACAUUGGCCCUGGCGACUGGUUUCUCAUGAGCAGCAUGUUACUUCACGAAAGCUCCACAGUGCGGGGCCAUCUCCCGAAAACACUCUUCAGCGUAUAUUUCCUUUAAUCGUCAACCCGGAGCCCCAGGGCGGCUAAUGCAAGAGGCCAAAAAUGUUUGGAGGAAGAAAAACAAAGGCAGGAAGUGGCGGCUGCCUGACGGUGCGUGCGCGUCUGCAAAGAAGGGAGGGAGCCAGUUCAAUCUCUUGUUUUUCCAAACUUCAAGGUCUAGGCAGCCUUUCCCCGCCAGCUGCCUGUCGGUCGCUCCUCCGCAGUUUGGAGGUGGCCACCCGGAGAGGAGAAGGCAAGGCGUCCCUGUCGUCCUGAUCAAGGAGGAAAUGGCUAACAAGAUUUGUUCAGCAAAACAGACCAAAACCAAGCCAGUCAGGGUCUUCCUCUGAUCUGGCUUUAAGACUGGGAAGGGAGGAUGUGCAUCUCCCCAGCCCUCCCUGGCAGGCUGAGUGCACUCUGGCGGGGAUGGUGAUCCAUGCACCCUGCGUUCCACCCGCUUUUGCAGGCAGGAUAUCAGAAUAAAGUGUCCUGGCUCCUCUGC